CACCUCGUCAUCCGGGGAGUAGCCGGCCGUCCUUCGGGGCGGAGAUCGCGUCAACAUGCUUGGGGGAGACCCCAUGGUGCGAUCAAGCUCUUGAGCCUUGGCAAGACCGAUGACACCGCACCUUCGUCCAGCCGGGCGGGGGGUGCCGGUGUCGUCCGUCAACUGCCAGC
rnacentral:sRNA from 2 species